GUGAAACACUGUUUCCCAUUCAUUUUCAAUGGAGCGGAGUGGGCGGGGACCGUUGGGCAGCAUGAACGUGGUGUGGGAGGCAGCGAAAAGGUUCAGCAUUUCAAACGUUAUGCAAGUCACCAGCGGUGCUGGGCAAUGACCAAUCAUAUCGAGUGGUUCCCAUGACGAAUUUGACGCUAUGCAACCCAAAGCUGGAACACAAAUAUUCCAGGAUGGAAGAAAAUGCAAGUAAUUCUAACGUCAUAACGAAUCAUGCAAAACAUGCAGUUGAGAGGAAUAUGUUAGUUAAUGUAGAUACAAACGAUUAUUCAUGUUUUUGGUCAUAAAGUUAAUUCACGAAAAUAGCUAGUUAGAAAGCUAGCUGACAAGCUAACAUUAGCCAGCUAGCUAGCUAGCUUUAUGGGUGUUUUGACAUGAGUAUGAAAUGUGUAAUUCGUGUUGUUUAAUGUUUUAGGGACUCCUUAGACAACCAGCAAACCAGGCUGUCAUCUUGUGAAACAGGGGUUGUGAAUCUAGCUACUGCAAAUUGAAUGUACAAUUUUGUAAGCUUGCCUUGCUGGUAUUUGCAAUGCAUCUGAAGUAACAUAGCUAGCUCGUUAACUAUGUUCUUGCUAAUUGUUUAGUGGAGGAUAAAAAUACCUGUAUGCCUAUGGAUGUGUAGCUAGCUAGGUAGCCGAUCUGUGUAUGGCCCCAAAACGUUUGGUAUAAAUAUUAUUUCAGAACAGUGGUUUUAAUUGCUUCCACCAGUUAAUCAUUCAUCCCCAAGAAAUUGCAGAAAAUGACUGUUACAUGUCAAUAUUAUAAUGUCAAUAUUAGCUAGCUAGCUAUGAACCUCAGCUAUCAUAGCCGGUUGUAUCGACUUCAAUACAAUCUGAAUGGCAUCAAUGAAGCCUAUGGAUUGAGUAGAAUAUAAUAUAACAUUAUUGUACCAAGGAAGCAAAUCAUAUAUUCAUGUAGUUAUAUUACCAAGCAUGAGUUCCCCACAUUGUAGCCUGUACAUUGAAUAUAUUCACUCAUCAUGUAAUCUACCUUGGCAAAAUAUAUGUGCAGUCCAUGUAGGAAUGUCUUUGGCAAUCUUUUUCAUUCAUAUUCAAUACCAGGAGUAUCAAACUCCAGUCUUUGAAUGAUGCUGAGUCAGCAUGUGUGUAUUACAAUUAUACACUUCAACAGUGUUUACCCAUCGUGGUCCUGGGACAUCAAUGGUUACACAUUGUAACUCUGGAAUAUAAUAGAACACAUGAUUUUAACUAGUUAACAGCUGAUUUGUAAUUCAUAUAUACAGAACCAGAAUUGAAAAAACAGUACACUAUCCUUCCCAUGUAAAUACUCUAAAACAGGUUAAUCUCAAUAUCUAAUUUCCUUCAUCUGCAUUGAUCCGAUGACACAGGAUAGGUGUAGUAUUUCAUCAAACGAGAGACUUCAUUUCAAGUAGAGAAUGUGAACCUUUGUGAAUGUGAAGCUUUAUCGAAAGAAGUUCAUUAUCCAAGUGUUCUAAAUAUGCAUUAUACAUAUUAUAAUUGUAUUAUUAUAAAUAAAGUUCAAUAUAUACUUUAAUACACAUCUGGUGUGCACUAUAAAAACAGUGGAAGAAAGAGGAGGUGGGGAGAGAAGUGUGAGAGAGUGUCAAAUACAGAAAUGGAAAGAUAAGAACAGAGGAGCAGGGAAGACAGCAUAUGAUUAAUGAUUUAGAGUUCUACUAAACUUAAUAUUCUCUCAGAUCAUCAUGAUUACAUAAUAGUGUCUCUAGCAGGGCCCUAACUGGGCCCCCAGUUGGCCAAAGGUUUAUCUUAGAGAGUGUCAGGUGGCGAUGACAGGACUGGGGCUUGGUAUCCUCUCUGACAUCAAAACAUACCUACAGACGAUAGACAGAUGGAGAGAGAGAGAGAGAGAGAGAGAGAGAAAGAGAGAGAGAGAGAGAGCAUGAUUAAGCCUUGUGUGUUUUUAAUUCUAUCAUUGUCAGUCAUUAUAAUCAUCAGGAAGUGAAAUACAAAACUGACCUUGUAUCAUUAACUUCUACAUCUUCAUCUGUAUUUCAAUGUAAAGUGUCUCUUUAAUAAUACUUCCUGUUGACCCGACCAAGUGACCUCUCACCUCUGAUCAGAAGAAUGGGGGAGAGGGGGGAGAGGGAUGAAAUGAAGGAGAGAGACUGUUAUUGAGAAAAUAAGGUAGUUAAAAGAGACCUCUGUGUGUGUGGCCUCACCUGGUGUCCACACUGUGGCUGCAGAGUAAUUUAUACUUAAAAACAUGCACAGACACAUGAGGACAAACAAUAUAGCGUAGUUAAAGAAAUAUAAAUAAUUGAGUGUCUUACUAUUCUCCAUGGUUGGUCCUCUUACCUAUUCUUUGAAGGUGGAAGCCAGAGUUAUACACCCGAGCCUGCUUACUCAACAACACAAUCCAUCAAUCAGACUGACACACAAGUGUGUAUGUGUGGGUUGUAGGGUGUCUAAUUGAAAAAAAUAAAAUAAUGAUGUGACUCCUAAAAGAGCCUGUUUUGUUUUUGUACAGACAUCACCCUCACCUGAGAAGAAAAAUCUAAGCGAGAGAUACUGGGAAUUGAAUAACUGCAGUUGACAUAGCUAAGUAAAUGAAAUAAUACUCUUAUUACAUUGUGGGUGGCGAUUAAACAAGAUUUUGGUUGUGCAUAGUGUAGCUUAUGGUGUUGCCAGGGAUCAGCACCCUCUUUGAAAGAAGUAGGAGGUGAAGAUCUUCCACACGGAUUUCCUCCCAUGCUGCGUUGUUGGCCCCCAUCCUUGCAACAUCUUGCAGUGCAUCAGACCUCUCCUCUGGCACACAGCGUAGAAUUACAGGUCCCCUCCUGGUCCUCGUGUCCAUCCUCAUGAAGUUAUGCAGUACACAGGACCAGGACUGAGAUCCCCUGCUCUUUAUUGGGACCUCUUCAUCUGCAUACCAUGCUUUCACGGCUCUCUGUAUCUGAGGACAGAAAACAUCACAAGAAACUGACUUCAUUAUACUCAAAUUAGACGGCAGUGAAUAUUAUGUUAUUAUUAUCUCUGUCCACACUUCGUUCUAGGGACUGGAACUAUACAAAAGUACUUGCCCUAUCCAGAAUAGCCUACUAUCUUUGACAAUUGGAGCUGCUAUCCUUUCACCCUCUUCCUUUGCUGUUAGCUAGCUACCUACAAAUGCAUUUGGAGUUAGUUUUUUACAAUGAAAAUACAUCAAGAUAGCUGGCUAAUUCUGAAGUUAGGUAGCUGGUUAUAUUUAAUUUAUUUAGCUAGCUAGCUAUUCAGUUUUUAAAGUUGGCUAGAUAGCUAACUAGCUAUGUUAGCAGCUGAUUUGAGUUAGCCUGCACUAUAGCUAGUUAGCUAAUAAUAUAUUGUUUAAUUUUUUUUUCUAAAUGUAUUUACUUACUUGAAUAGGUUCUCCCAGCCAUGUGGAUGAUUGGAAACACAGCAGAAAAGUAUAUUUGUCGCCAGAGUGGUUUAAAGCAUAUUGCUAUUUACCUGUAAAUAAAUUAAUGAACUGGAGAAUGGA